rnacentral:rRNA from 1 species
UCCGUAGGUGAACCUGCGGAAGGAUCAUUAUUGAAAUAAACCUGAUGGGUUGUUGCUGGUUCUCUAGGGAGCAUGUGCACACCUUGUCACCUUUAUAUCUCCACCUGUGCACCUUUUGUAGACCUUUCAGGUCUAUGUUGCUUCAUUUACCCCAAUGUAUGUUAAUAGAAUGUUGUGCCUAUAUAAUUAAUAUAUACAACUUUCAGCAACGGAUCUCUUGGCUCUCGCAUCGAUGAAGAACGCAGCGAAAUGCGAUAAGUAAUGUGAAUUGCAGAAUUCAGUGAAUCAUCGAAUCUUUGAACGCACCUUGCGCUCCUUGGUAUUCCGAGGAGCAUGCCUGUUUGAGUGUCAUUAAUAUAUCAACCUUCUCUUCUUGAGUGGUUUGGAUGUGGGGGUUUGCUGGCCUCUUAAAAGGUUUUAGCUCUCCUGAAAUACAUUAGCAGAACAACCCUGUUCAUUGGUGUGAUAACUAUCUACGCUAUUGAAUGUGAAGGGCAGUUUGGCUUUCUAACAGUCCUUGGACAGAUCAUCAUUAAUGUGACCUCAAAUCAGGUAGGACUACCCGCUGAACUUAAGCAUAUC